rnacentral:snRNA from 1 species
GUGUUCCACUCAUGCAUCUUCAGCUCAGCACAUAUACUAAAAUUGGAACAACACAGAGAAGAUUAGCACGGCCCCUGCACAAGGAUGACAUGCAUUUUUUUUUUUUUUUUUU